GGGGGAUGAUGAGUGGUCAAUGCUCGCGAUGAUAAAAGACGCGAGAGGGGUGUACCAACCCACGCCUGGUUACGACAACCUGGGCACUCCAAUCAUCUGUACCUUCUGAUCCC
rfam:Eucalyptus grandis cultivar BRASTZ1 unplaced genomic scaffold scaffold_6, whole genome shotgun sequence.